UACAGAGGUGGCAAGCGUUGUUCGGAAUUACUGGGCGUAAAGGGCUCGUAGGCGGCCAACUAAGUCAGACGUGAAAUCCCUCGGCUUAACCGGGGAACUGCGUCUGAUACUGGAUGGCUUGAGUUUGGGAGAGGGAUGCGGAAUUCCAGGUGUAGCGGUGAAAUGCGUAGAGAUGUGGAGGAACACCAGUGGCGAAGGCGACUCUUUGGCCUGUAACUGACGCUGAGGCGCGAAAGCGUGGGGAGCAAACAGG
rnacentral:rRNA from 1 species